rnacentral:rRNA from 1 species
AGAGUUUGAUCAUGGCUCAGAUUGAACGCUGGCGGCAGGCCUAACACAUGCAAGUCGAGCGGCAGCACGGGUACUUGUACCUGGUGGCGAGCGGCGGACGGGUGAGUAAUGCCUAGGAAUCUGCCUGGUAGUAGGGGAUGACGCUCGGAAACGGACGCUAAUACCGCAUACGUCCUACGGGAGAAAGCAGGGGACCUUCGGGCCUUGCGCUAUCAGAUGAGCCUAGGUCGGAUUAGCUAGUUGGUGAGGUAAUAGCUCACCAAGGCGACGAUCCGUAACUGGUCUGAGAGGAUGAUCAGUCACACUGGAACUGAGACACGGUCCAGACUCCUACGGGAGGCAGCAGUGGGGAAUAUUGGACAAUGGGCGAAAGCCUGAUCCAGCCAUGCCGCGUGUGUGAAGAAGGUCUUCGGAUUGUAAAGCACUUUAAGUUGGGAGGAAGGGCAGUUACCUAAUACGUAAUUGUUUUGACGUUACCGACAGAAUAAGCACCGGCUAACUCUGUGCCAGCAGCCGCGGUAAUACAGAGGGUGCAAGCGUUAAUCGGAAUUACUGGGCGUAAAGCGCGCGUAGGUGGUUCGUUAAGUUGGAUGUGAAAUCCCCGGGCUCAACCUGGGAACUGCAUUCAAAACUGACGAGCUAGAGUAUGGUAGAGGGUGGUGGAAUUUCCUGUGUAGCGGUGAAAUGCGUAGAUAUAGGAAGGAACACCAGUGGCGAAGGCGACCACCUGGACUGAUACUGACACUGAGGUGCGAAAGCGUGGGGAGCAAACAGGAUUAGAUACCCUGGUAGUCCACGCCGUAAACGAUGUCAACUAGCCGUUGGGAGCCUUGAGCUCUUAGUGGCGCAGCUAACGCAUUAAGUUGACCGCCUGGGGAGUACGGCCGCAAGGUUAAAACUCAAAGGAAUUGACGG